UUUUCGUUGCAUAAGAAUGUGACAUCAAAAUGAUAUAUCGGUAGUGAAUUUUGAAAAGGGCGAAUGCGCCAAAUGUAAACAAUCUGAGUUAUCACCAGGGUGAAAAAGUACGUUCUAUUCGUUCAGUCAGGUUCCCUCGAACUGAUGUUAUAAAUAAUUCUGUCACAGCCAAAAGCACUAAAACAAAACAAUCAUCAAAAUUAGUAUAUUUACAAGAAUUUUCGAAAAGAAUAUUUUUAAAAACGAGUCGUGCAACAAGUCACUACCAGACUCUAAUUUAAAAAAAAAAUUAAUAAAAAAAAUAAGUUUGUCUAAAAGUCAUUUUAAUUUAAAAACAUGAGAUAAUCCGUAACCAAAAAGAUCAUAACAUUUAUCGUAGUUUUGAAGUUCAAAAAAAAAAGUCACUCCCUUCAAUUUUUCAUUGCAAGACAUUAGAUUUCAAGUUUUUACGACUGUAUGAUUUAACACAGUGUUUUGCUGUAGCGCGAAAGUCAAUAAUCAAAACAAAAACAUAAUAAAGUUUCCUGCCAGCAGCUGUUCGGCUGUUCAUUCGGUCCGUUCUACAAAAAUGGAACAAUUUGCGCGAUACCACUAAGAAAUCCUUCGGGAUAGUCUGCUGUUUGAUUCUCAAAGGAGAGUAGAAGCUGUGCGGAUAGUGGUUGCAGUGGACAGGAAUACCGCCAUCGGAAAAAGUUCCCGAAAAGUUAAACUAUCCAGAUUCGAAUGCCCUUCUAUGUAUUCACCAAAUCAUCACCACACCCUCCUGGUGCGACUAGAACCGUCCCUCUCCGUGGUGUUUAUCAUGGACAUAACGAAGCCCGAAAACUACCCUCAGCUCCAGAUUGGGUUCGAACCAAUUUCUCGAAUUAAUUUGGAAAAUACAACAUAGAAAUUUCAGAGGAGCUAUCAAGAAAACGUGAUGGAAGGUGUCAGGCGCAGUACCAGUGUUACGGAAUCUGCACGACAAUUCACCGGAAUUGACCGAAUUUUAUGUCGCGAGUUUCUGUGGACUAGCAGCAAUCGAUACUUCUUUCCUGAUUUAUUAUGAGAUAGCCACCAACAGCAUUGGUGAUGAAAUCGAAUUUCAUCAAGGGGUACGGUCACUUUCGGAAGGAAUGAUAGCGCUGGAUUCGAUGUGCGAGACGUUUGGGUUUGGCAAGGUGUUGUAAAGUACGAACGUUGCUGGGAGCUCCACACCCACAUUCAUCGGAGAAAUGUGCUCUUUGAGAAUAGUCUACCCAGCAAGCAUCUAGAAUAAAACAUACAAACAACAAUGGAGAAAACCUAAUGGUAGAUAUGGACGAGAGCAAAUUAAAUGUAACGUUGAUGUUACGGAUGACGCCUCUGAUUAUGUUUGGCUGUCAAAAAAUCUUUGUACGCAAACUUGAUGAAUAUAAAAUCUAGAGACUGCGUUACAACAUUCAUAGCUGAUGAAAUCCUUUUCGCUAUCUAUUGCUAGCGUCCGGGUGAAAGUAGAAUUCCCAUCUGCGGAGAUGAAACUGUAAAGCCGCUCCGGCUUCUGCUUUGGAACCUUUCUGAGAAAAAGCUGCUGUAUAUCCUUCGAAUUCAUCAUUAGUUUAGGCACCAUGGGUCCCUGCUUGCUGUCAUCAAACAUGAGUACUCUUACGUUUGCGUCUCUGCUUUGGACUUGCCGAAUCAAGUCCCAACAUCAUUGCCCGAUUUGCAAAGGGAACAUUGUUUAAAAAGUGGAAGACUUCCUGCAACACUGUGCCGUUGGCCAUUUCACUGACCAAUACGCGUGUGAUUGUGGGAUUGAAGAACGAGCUGAUAUUAAUACGCGGAAAGACCAAUCCACCGGAACAAAAAAGUGGAAGAAGGGAUGGCAAUGAAAAUGUAUCCGAAAAUGGAUGAACAAUUUACUAAUUUUUAACUUAUAUUGGCCGGAAUGAAACCAUAUGCUCCAAGAAGAAGACAGGUUCAAGUAAAAUGCGAAGAUUAGAAAUAUCGCAGUUUCACACUGUCAAUUUAUGAAUUGAUAUGUGUAAUUAUACCAUUUUUCAAAAAACAGAUUCAGACGUUUAGCGACACAGAAUUGCAGCCGAAUAAUGAUAAGACAAAGCCAAAAAAAAAUUAACGGAAUUUGUGAACUUAUUCGAAAAAAAAAACAAUCUUUACCUCAUUUCAAAAGCAAUAAUUUUCUUUAAAAAAAUUGUUUUCAAUCCUAUUGUACUGCAAACUUGCUUUGAUUAACAAAUUCACAGUUCACAUAAGGAAAUUAGAUUUUUAUAAAAGAACUAAUGUACAGUUGCGUUCAAAAAAGAAUGAAAUCGCGUGAAGCUGCGCACCCACUUCCAACUUUGACAAGCUGCCAUUUCUCUCUCGGUUUAUAUUUUUUCAUGAAAAUUUCACACAAUCUAGUUCAACUAUCCAACUAACACUCCACAAAAUUUGAAGUCUUUAGAAUG